rnacentral:rRNA from 1 species
CGUGUAGGCGGCUAGGUAGGUCCGUUGUGAAAACUCGAGGCUCAACCUCGAGAUGUCGGUGGAAACCAUCUGGCUAGAGUCCGGAAGAGGAGAGUGGAAUUCCUGGUGUAGCGGUGAAAUGCGCAGAUAUCAGGAAGAACACCCGUGGCGAAGGCGGCUCUCUGGUACGUGACUGACGCUGAGACGCGAAAGCGUGGGGAGCGAACA